AUUUCGACGAGAAGAUCCUGAGAUUCAUCAAGGGCUACAAGCGAACGUUUAAUCUCGGUAUUCUUGGUUGCGCCUAAAUGAUUUGAAGCAAAUCUGAACCUGUAACUGUAGUUCUUGGUCUGAAGAUAUCACAUCUCAACUUUUCUUUCCCCGCAGCUUGCAUUGACCAUAGAGGCGCACCACAGAAUCCAUCCAGGACCUGCACCCCUGAAUCCGAAGAUGAAGAAAUAUGCGUAAGUUGAUUGCAUCCAUUAAUCAAAUAUCUACAACACAUUGUACUGAUGUGCUGAAGUUUUGAUGAUUUCGAUUGGUCGCUGACAUAACCUCCUAUUUCUCCUUUUGUUUAUAGGUAUUCAACGUGAGGAAUUUCAUACUUUUGGUGUGGUGCUAGCAAAUAUAGUGACCAAAGAUAGUGAUGAGAAAGGGUGGAGCUGAGUAUGCCACACAGGGAUAUGAUUAUUCCCCCUAUGUUCUUUUUGGCAAUCCACUUCAUCACUGACUCAUCUGUGUAUGGGUUCCAAAGUUUGGCCACAACUAGCUUGAUUCGGAGACAUUUCGUAUUAGGAGUUAAACUUUGGUUUGGAGGCAUUGAGCUUUGCCAGUAACUAGCUUUGUUACUUGGUAUACUUCUGUCAGCAUUCAGGAGCCCCGUAGUUGUGUAGCGGGUCGCGGGAGAGGCAGCCGGUGAGUGCGAGCUGGACGGGAAGGUGAUGCCUGCGAUGGCGAACCAUGCCGGCGGACAGGGCAGGGUCGACGCUCUAAAUGUACUGCCUGACAGCUUGUCUUAGUCUUAAUAAAAGUGCAUAUCU